rnacentral:rRNA from 1 species
UACGUACGUGGCAAGCGUUGUCCGGAAUUAUUGGGCGUAAAGCGCGCGCAGGCGGUCCUUUAAGUCUGAUGUGAAAGCCCACGGCUCAACCGUGGAGGGUCAUUGGAAACUGGGGGACUUGAGUACAGAAGAGAAGAGUGGAAUUCCACGUGUAGCGGUGAAAUGCGUAGAUAUCUGGAGGAACACCGGUGGCGAAGGCGGCAUCCUGGACCAAUACUGACGCUGAGGAGCGAAAGCCAGGGGAGCAAACGGG